rnacentral:SRP_RNA from 1 species
GCCAGGUAUGGUGGCUCAUGCCUGUAAUCCCAGCACAUUGGGAGGCCGAGGUGGGAGGAUCACCUGAGGUCAGGAGUUCGAGACCAGCCUGGCCAACAUGGUGAAACCCCGUCUCUU